ensembl:lncRNA
UGUUGUUAGAUGUGCUGUCUAAAGUCAUCUCACAUGACCCACAUACCAUGCUUUCGUUGAUGUAUAUAAAAUUCUUCUAGGAUUCAGGGCAUUAACUACAAUACAAAAAUCUUCUAGGUUUAAAAUGUCAUUGUGGUAAAAGUGUAUCCCUGCUCUAAGCCAGUACUAGUGGUAAAAAUGGAUAAUAAUAAUUCCAUCACUUGAAGGUACUAAAACUGUUGAACAAACCGAUGAAACUUAGAACACGUUAUAGAGAAGUGUGACAUAGAACAACUGGUGUUAUUAUUAAUAAGGGUAACUUCACUCCCUAAUUGAGCUGCUCUGACUUCACAUUCACCAUUGUUAAAGGGAUAAGGACUGCCCAUGAAUUAUAUCUCUAAAAUUAAAUAUGUUCCAGUAGCAAUUAUGUUAUUAAAAGAAACUUGUUUAUGUCCCAUUUUUCAGAAAUAUUUCAUUUGUUUAAAACAUUUGAAUGAUAUGCUUUAUAAUUAUCUUUGAGGUAAGAAAAUAAUUGUCCGUAUAACAGUGAACAACAUUUUAGCUUUUUAUGUGGUUGUAAUUGUGAAUAUCUGUAAAUUGCCAGUGUGCAGGUAAGACCUUUCAAAAAUUCAAAUUAUGUUUAUUGGGUGAGAAAUAAAGCAGUAAGAAAGUCAGAGUAUUCUACUAAUUCAGUGCACCGUUUUCAUCGACUCUGACGCAUCUUUCUGAAGGGCAGAGCAGUUGCAUUGGAGACUCUAUAAAGAAUAGAUGUUUUCUGUCACCCAAUGUCUUGUAUUAUUCAGUUUACAAAUGUGGUUGUGGACUAAAACGCUGGAUGGAGUCAAGCUUCAACCCUGCUUAAUUCUUGGAAUUGUGCCCAGAUCAAAUGUGCUUGGUAAGCUGGAACACCAUACAUGCUUUUGAUGGACUACAGCUGAGUAAGGAAACUUCAGUACUCCAUAAACCCACUCCAGUUGUUCAGAGUACGGUGGGGAGCCCUAGCAUGGCCAUGUAGAGCAAGGCUGUGCAAAAUCAUCCCUCUGUGUUCCAUCAACCCCAUGCUUUCCGGGUGUGCUGAACCUGAUCUGUCAGGCCACCUUCUUUUCUGUUGCUGGGGAACAGAGCCCCACAUAUUGAGCAGUUUGUAACAACACCCACUGAUUAGCUCACAGUUGUAUGGGUCAGAAUACUUGCACACUGUGGCCAUGUUCUGCUCAGGCUAAAAUCCAGAUGUCUGUCCGCCACGUUCUCAUAUGGAGCUAGGUUUUGCCUAGUUAAUUUUUCUCUUUGGCAGAAUACGUUUCUUUGCUGUCCUAAAACGGAAGUUUCUGUUUCCUUGCUGGUGUAGCUCUAAACAUUUAGAAGCUGGUCUCAAUUCUUACCACGAGGUCCCCACCAUCUCAGCAAUGGAGAACGAUCUGUUACAUUUCUCUAACUUCCUCUUCUGUGAGCAGCCAGAGAAACUUCUCUGCUUUAAAGGGCUUGGAUGAUUAAAUCAAGCCCUCCAAGGUGGUCUCCCCAUCUCAAGGUUAAUGACCUUAUAUAGCAUAACCUAAUCCCAGGAGUAAAACUUUAAAUUCUCAGUCCUGGGGCCUGGGCAGGAUGUGUUCACUAGGACAAGAAUUAUAGGGGGACAUCUUAGAAAACUGCCUGCCUUUGAGGCUUUCGUCACUUUCACACUCAUGUUUACAGAUUUCUUUGACUUCUGUCUACACUCAGGUCUGUUUUUAAAAUUUUUUUUUCCCAAAAGAAACUCAUAAAAACUCAAACUGUCACUAGACUAGCGUACAUGUAAUAAAAUAUACAUAAAAGAAGUGUGUUCCUGUGCUUGCAAACAUGUUUCAAGGUGACACCAAAUAAGCUUAGAUGCUAUUCAUCAUUCUCAUUACAGACGUAGCUUCAACUAAACCAUCACUUAUGGCAAAGCACUUUUGUGACAGUGUAGUAACUGACAAUACAGUUAUAAUAAUGACGUAUUAACUCAGUAUGAUUUCUUUCUAACUUAUGUCAAUCCUACUGUAUAUGAAAAAUAAUAUUUAUUUAAAUACCAAUACUGAUUUAUUUAUGUUUUCCUACAAAAAUGCAUUUUUUAGGAUCUAGGAGAUCAAUAAAAAUUAUUUAUUGGUGAUUUCGUCAUGUCCAUCUAUCCUGAAAUGCCUUAUCUCCCACUCCAUCUCUGAUUAUUAAUUGGAUUCUUAUAGUAACUAACUCUCACCCAAAACCUUUGAUUUAUCAAGUAUUGAUGAAAAGGUACUUACUAAGAAUGCAAAUGUCUGAUUUAGAGGAGCUCACUAAAACAGUCAUAUCCACUGUGCCACCCGUGAAGCCCCUAAAAUACUAAAAUGUAUUAUUAAGUAUCAAGUGGCUAGUCUCAAGCCAGGGUAAAGACGAGUGAUAGAAAAUGAAGUAUGCAAUGGUUUAGCAGAGUGUUAAGAAUAAUGAAGAAUCAGAUGCUGGAAAAGAUACUUGAUUAACUUAAUCUUGAGUCUCAGAGUUUUCAUUAUAAAAGCAAGGUGAUCUUCCAACUUUAUUGAAUUGUGAGAAUUGAAUGAGGUAUCAAAUAUAUAGCCUUUAAUAAACCUUCAAUAAAUACUUUCCUUCUCUGAAAGGAAUAAUAAACUUUAAAGUGAGAGAAGUCACCGUUGAAACAGAGAACACUCCACAGACAUAAUUCUGUUUGCAAAAAUUGGAUUCACCUGCUGAAACAGUAAUGGUGGCUUGUGUGUGUGCUCAGGGGCUCAGCCAUGUCCAAUUCUUUGUGACCCAUGGACUGUAGACUCCUCUGUCCAUGGAAUUUUUCAGGCAAGAAUACUGGAGUGGGUUGCCGUUUGUCAGGUGCUAUUUCCUCCUCCAGGGGAUCUUCCCAACCCAGGUGUCAAACCGUUGUCUCCUGAGUCUCCUGCAUUGACAGGUGGAUUCUUUACCACUGAGCCACCUGGAAAGCCCAACAGUGGCUUAAAUAAUACUAAAGUGCUUUUAAGUAUUUGAAACAAAGGACAUUUAAUAGUGGAACUAGCUUGAUGAUGGAAUGGUUUAGAGAAGUCAAGUGGGUAAUGCAUCAGCCCAUGGAUGCACAGCAGCAGGGGUACUAUCUCCUUAUAGAACAAUGGAGGAUGCAUUGCUCCUGAAACUCAGGGCUGGUGUUACAAAAGAAAUCAGCCAGAGGUGCCACCAAGGCAGAGGGAGAAAUACCCUGGUUUCUUCCUUCUAACAAAGGCAGGUCACAGGAGAGCUUGAGAAAUAAAUAGCCCAUGGGGUUUGAGAAGUGCAAAAAGGCAAUGAGUGCAUCUGAGAUCAUCAAACUCUGGACCAGCAUUUUAAUUGGUGGAACUAAGGGAAAUGUAAUUGACUAGCAAGUCAGAUUUAAGGUAAUUCAAGACAAGGCUGAAUCCUGAAAAUAUUGUGAUGAUCAAUUAUCUUAAUUGUAUUUUCUCUGAGCUUCAGAACCAUCACUAACAAAAAGAGAGCUGUCAAAGAUGGAGACUUAUUCCCUAAAACCCUCUCAGGUAAAGCUGUGGGGGCCUGAGGAACUAUGAUUAGGACUGUGAGCCUUAACCUUCCCAGUCACAGGAGAUGGUAUAAGGGCUCACUUCUUGUUGUCUUACUUUUGCUUUUUUUCCCCCCAAAUGUGGCAAUUCUACCCAUCUUCAUCAUUAUAUUUGGUAUUUUGAGAUGGAGAAGAGCAUGUCUUUUAAAGGUGAUCCUCAUAAUAUGUAUCCUAUUAGGUGUGUAGAAGGUCUGUGUUUUCUCUCUUUGUGUUCUCUCUCUCUCAGAGAGUCUGGGACCAUGGGGAAAAAAAAAAAAGAUACUGUG